rnacentral:tRNA from 1 species
GAAGGUAGAGCUCAGUGGUAGAGCACAUGCUUAGCAUACACAAGGUCCUGGGUUCAAUCCUCAGUAUCACCA